rnacentral:rRNA from 1 species
AUUGAACGCUGGCGGCAUGCUUUACACAUGCAAGUCGAACGGUAACAGGCCGCAAGGUGCUGACGAGUGGCGAACGGGUGCGUAAUGCAUCGGAACGUGCUCAGUCGUGGGGGAUAACUACUCGAAAGAGUAGCUAAUACCGCAUACGAUCUAUGGAUGAAAGCGGGGGACCGUAAGGCCUCGCGCGAUUGGAGCGGCCGAUGUCAGAUUAGGUAGUUGGUGGGGUAAAGGCUCACCAAGCCAACGAUCUGUAGCUGGUCUGAGAGGACGACCAGCCACACUGGGACUGAGACACGGCCCAGACUCCUACGGGAGGCAGCAGUGGGGAAUUUUGGACAAUGGGCGCAAGCCUGAUCCAGCAAUGCCGCGUGCAGGAAGAAGGCCUUCGGGUUGUAAACUGCUUUUGUACGGAACGAAACGGCUCUGGUUAAUACCCGGGGCUAAUGACGGUACCGUAAGAAUAAGCACCGGCUAACUACGUG